CAAAAGCUGGACAAUGCAGAACUCCCCAAGGGCCGCAUGAAGAAAACACCAAAAGCUGCACACAGAAGCACUCCUCAGGGCAACAAGGAGAAGAAAAACCAAAAAGCUUCACGAAGAAUUACUCCUCAAGUGCCAUAGUGAAGAAAACACGAAGAGCUAAGUGAUGAAGCCCUCUUCAGGGGAAACGUGGUGUGGGGAAAAUCCCCAAAAGCUGCACGAUGAAGAACUCCUCAGGGCUGUAGUGAAGAAAACACCAAAAGCUGCAUGAUGAACUCCUUUGGGUAAACGUGGUAAAGAGAACUCCAAAACCUGGACGAUGCAGAACUCCACAGGGCUGCAGUGAAGAAAAUUCCCAAAGCUGCAUGAUGAAGAACUCCUCAGGGUAAAUGUCAUGAAGAGAACCCCAAAAGCUGCACAAUAAAGAACUCCUCAGGGCCAUAGUGAAAAAACACCAAAAGCUGCAUGCAGAAGCACUCCUCAGGGCCUGGAUGAGAAAAAAAACAACACACCAAAUGUUGGAAGAUGAAGCACUUUUCAGGGGCAACAAGGUGAAAACAUCACCAAAAGCUGCAUGAUGAAGCUCUCCUCAGGGAAACCAUGGUGAGGAGAACACCAAAAGCUGGACAGUGCAGAACUCCUCAGGGUCGCAGUGAUGAAAACACCAAAAGCUGCAUGAUGAUGCACUCCUCAGGGUCCCAAAGUGAAGAGAACCCCAAAAGCUGCACGAUGAAGAACUCCUCAGGGACCACAAGGUGAAGAAAACACGAAAAGCUCCACGAAAAAUGACUCCUCAAGUGCCACAGUAAAAAAAAAAAAAAAAAAAAAAAACACAUGAAAAGCAGAAUGAUGAAGCACUCCUUGGGGGAAACGUGGUGUGGAGAACCCCAAAAGCUGCAUGGUGAAGACGUCCUCAGGGAAACACAGUGAAGGAAAAA